UGGGCUGUUCGAGGAGGAUGACCAGACCAGCAGACCACACCCCCUGCUUCACUUGAACAUUAACUCGGGCAUUAUUUUCUCUUUCUCGUGGUUUUUCCAAAUCUUCAGUUCUUUGAAGAGGUUAAGUGGGGCCCUGCUGAACCUCCCAGAAUGCUCGACCUUAUUCAGCAGCUGGAAGGCAGUCCAGAGUCCUUGGAGGUUUGUUCUCACCACACCAUGAUAGCUGGCGCUUUCUGCCUCCUCCUUCAGAUGAGCUGUGGGGACUGGAUGCCGAUCUAUGGAAAUGGCUUUCUGUGAGCAGCAUCUGUCUCCCCAGACAAGUCCUGGGGCUGUGCUGGCACGCUGGCCCACGGAGCGCCCUCAGCCUUGCAACUGUUUGCCUUCGCUCCAGCUGUUACUUCCCGGAGGAAAGCAACCUUUUCCAAUCCAGCUCUCAGAAUGAACGCCUUAAACUCUUCUCUCCACACUAGUUGUCAGUGGCUGCCCCGUAAUUCCUCGCUUGUCAUAUGCUGAAUAAAGAAAAUAAUAUCUAGGA